AUCUGACAUAAAGUUUUAAUAUCUCUUCAUAAUCUCUAGUGAUCUUAAACCUAAGUUUUGAUAUUAUUCUAUCACAUCCUAAUCAUUUAUAUCGUAAUCUCCAAUGAUCAUAACCUAAGCUCUAAUAUCACUCUGUAAUAUUCUAAUCACUUAUAUCAUAAUCCCUAAUGAUCAUAACCUAUGCUCUGAUACCAUUCUGUCACGCCCCAAACCCAACAUCCGAGUC
rnacentral:lncRNA from 1 species